CUUCCUCCUUCCUUUGUUAUCCUCUGCCUUUGCCUCUUUUGAAAAGUUCUAAGUUGCUAGCCGAUCAGGACAAAUACAGAAUGUGAGGUCCCCUUCCAGACAACAGACACCGGACACAGCAGUAGCGUGGACGCGUAAACACUGGGGAAGAAGCAUUUCUAACAGGAGCCUGCAUGCUGAGGAUGGCAGAGGAAAAAGACAGAGCCAUACUGAGCCCUUGGAGAUGCCACUGAGGAGCUACGCUAACCAAUCCUGGAGGCACCAUAACCUAGGACUUCUUCUUAUACAAGGAUGCUAGAGAGCAGUCUUCAGCCUGAGACCCAUCUCUAGAGUCUUAAUACCUUUAUUUUAUGCUAUUGACAGCUUCUAACAACUCAGUAUACUCCUAUGAACAAAAUUUGGAGCAUAUUUGUUUCUCUCUACCUGAUUUCUUCAGACUGUGGAAACUAUUUGAAUCAAACUUGACUUAUGGAUCCAAUAAAGCCCUUGGAAAAACUGGCCUCAUAUUUUGUGUAAACAGUCCCCGUACAGGGUUUCUGACUUGUGGACAUGAGACUUCACAGCCUGCUAAAAAUAAGCUUUUGGGACCUACCCAUUUAGGAAUAAACAGUCCUAGCCUUGAGAGAUCAGAUGAAAUCUGAGGCCAGAGACUCAUUUUCUUCUAAAAUGCUUUCUCCAAAAGAUUUUUAAAUAGAAAAGAGGGGAAAUGUGAAAGGAAAAUGUCUUCAGCCCCUUCAAGCUGGGAACUCUCAGUACAAAUCUGUCUCUCAUUCUAUUCAAAGUCAUUUCUCUGCUCAGAGAUAGAUGCAUAUUCUGAUUGCCUUCUUUGGAAAGACUUACCAGAAACUCAAAAGAAUGCAACCAUCUGUCUCUCACCUACCUGUGACCUGGAAGCCCAUAGGGUAAAGGGGGCUUGCUUUGAGUUGUCUCUACUUUUCUGAAUGGAAUGAAUGUACUUCUUACAUUUAUUGAUUGAUGUCUCAUGUUUCCCUAAAAUGUAUAAAACCAAUCUGUGCCCCGGCCACCCUGGGCAUGUGUUGUCAGGACUUCCUAAGGCUAUGUCACAGGUGCAUCCUCAACUUUGGCAAAUAAACUUUCUAAAUUAACUGAGACCUCUCUCAGAUUUUCUGGGUUCACUAUUCCUACUUGGAAAAUUGUCGAUAU
rnacentral:lncRNA from 10 species